CUGGUUCCUUAGAAAGAAGGAUGAUUCUGAAAAUUACCAUUAUCAUUGAGUUAUAUACCUGGAUGGGAUGUUAGUGGUUUUGAAUGAAACAUCUCACAGUCUACUCAGCUCCUUACACAAUGCAUCCACCAAAACUCUUAAAUAGCCAUCUUUAGUGAAGGCAAGCUCACCAGCUCCCUUUUCCAGUGUGUAUCUCUCCAACUCUCCAGCUAUUGAACUGAAAUCCAUGUGUUUACGGCUUCUACCCAAGCAUCUUAAGUCUGCCCCCUUGAGGCCGCUCAAAGCAAAUCUCCUCUUUCUUCCCCAAGACUGUCGGAAAGCUUUUGGAAGAAUCCCUUCAAGUUCUCCGGAGCCUUCUCUUCUUCAGGUUAAAUACUCCUGCUUCCCUUGGGUCUACAGUCUCCUUUAGCAUCGUGGCAGGUCUCUUCUAUUCAUACCUUGGUUCGCUGAUGUCUAAACUUACCAUCAGUACCUAGGAAGAUCCUGGAACAAGUCAUCAAUCGCUUUGCAAUCCCCUUGGCAACCAUGAAGAGCUGAGACCCCUUGUCCACUUCAGGCCGGAUGAGGCCACCAAUCUAUCAACUGGGCCUGUGCAGAUGCUCGAUGAGUGACCUUUUUGACUAUAGGAGAUAAGGACCUAGCUCCACACUUCAGACUGCCCUGCCCUUCAUCCCAUAAAUUGUGCCCCAAGCCGUGGAUUGGGGAGACAGAUCUGAGGACACAUGCCCCCUGACUCCUUUCAGAUCCAGCUCACAAAAUAAAGCUACAUUUCUUUUUCCAAAAGCUGAGGCCGUAAUAAUUGGCUUUUUUUAUGCGUAUCAGGCAAGAGAACCCCAAUUUUGUGCUGUAACACUAGGUGCUGGUUGCUGGACAGCUAUAAUGUUAUAUACAACCUUAAAGAAGCCACCUUCUUUCUUGGAGCCUCAGUCUUCAUCCGUGAAAUGCAAGGUUGGGCUAGGUGACAUCUGAGGGCUUUCCUGUACUAAACUGAAUAAGCCAGUAGUGGGGAAGGAAGCGUGCUGAGGGCCAGCGAGGAGAUGAGUCCUGGAUCAGAAGAGCUCCUGAGGAGCUGGCAAGCCAAAAUCUUCCAUAUCUUACCAAACGACUUGGUUAUUUAUU
rnacentral:lncRNA from 1 species